UACAGAGGUCUCAAGCGUUGUUCGGAUUCAUUGGGCGUAAAGGGUGCGUAGGUGGCGCGGUAAGUCGGGUGUGAAAUCUCGGAGCUUAACUCCGAAAUUGCAUUCGAUACUGCCGUGCUCGAGGACUGGAGAGGAGACUGGAAUUCAUGGUGUAGCAGUGAAAUGCGUAGAGAUCAUGAGGAAGACCAGUGGCGAAGGCGGGUCUCUGGACAGUUCCUGACACUGAGACGCGAAAGCCAGGGGAGCGAACGGG
rnacentral:rRNA from 1 species